rnacentral:rRNA from 1 species
AUUGAACGCUGGCGGCAGGCCUAACACAUGCAAGUCGAACGAGUGGCGGACGGGUGAGUAAUGUCUGGGAAACUGCCCGAUGGAGGGGGAUAACUACUGGAAACGGUAGCUAAUACCGCAUACCAUCGGAUGUGCCCAGAUGGGAUUAGCUAGUAGGUGGGGUAACGGCUCACCUAGGCGACGAUCCCUAGCUGGUCUGAGGGGAGGAACAGCAAAACUGGAACUGAGACACGGUCCAGACGGCAACGGGAGGCAGCAGUGGGGAAUAGUGCACAAAGGGGGCAAGCCUGAUGCAGCCAUGACGAGUGUAUGAAGAAGGCCUUCGGGUUGUAAAGUACUGUAAGCGAGGAGGCGUUACUCGCAGAAGAAGCACCGGCUAACUACGGGCCAGCAGCCGCGGAAAUAC